rnacentral:rRNA from 1 species
CGUAGGUGCGAGCGUUGUCCGGAAUUACUGGGCGUAAAGAGCUCGUAGGUGGUUUGUCGCGUCGUCUGUGAAAUUCCGGGGCUUAACUCCGGGCGUGCAGGCGAUACGGGCAUAACUUGAGUACUGUAGGGGAGACUGGAAUUCCUGGUGUAGCGGUGAAAUGCGCAGAUAUCAGGAGGAACACCGGUGGCGAAGGCGGGUCUCUGGGCAGUAACUGACGCUGAGGAGCGAAAGCAUGGGGAGCGAACAGGAUU